GAAUGAAUAAAACAUAUAUAUUUUUGUUCCAGCAAAAUAAAGCCACCAACAUUUUUUUUUCCAAUUGCUUUCACAUUUAUUAGUUUGUAUUUCGGAUAAUGACAUACAAAACUCAUAGGUUUCCCAUUAGUCUGUAUUGGCCUGUGGUAAAAUCCUGCAUAGCAGCAUGGAGUCUGUUAUCUGUGAUAAACAGCAGCAAAGAGUUGGCUUUAGGCGCCUUAAAUGGAAGUCUAGUCCUUACUUAUCAAGUAAUUGCAUAACUAAAGACAGCAGUUGUGUUCUCCCUGAUGUACAAAAAGAAAUUAGGGGGAAAAAAAGAUUAAAAAAAAGGAAUCUAGUGGGUUCAAUUCAGGGACAUCUAUCAACAAGAAGAAUACAUUAAUACUGAUUCACUGCUUUUAGGAAUACUGGGAUUGAUAAUUUAGAGAUAGUGAUGAAUACACGAAGAAUGCGGACUUGUACGCUUUAUAUGGAAGGUUGUGUAAACCAGUUAAACUAUUUCAAAGAUAAAAAGUUUUUUAUAUCACAUAUGUAUAUAGACUAGAUGAGUUAGAGUGCUGCAGAUUUACUGGGCUAUAAAACUGGAGUAAACAAAACUAUCAAACUGCUCCAUUACGGCGCCUCUGGCUCCCAUCUCUGAAUGUGUCAUUAACAAGUUUAUCACGAUUUGACAAGGGCAGGACAGCUGCACCUCUUCUCCAGCUUGAUGACUCUGCAAGUGGUGCCAUCAAAGAUUAUUUCAACUACAAAAAAAAAAAAAAAAAGAGAGAAAAAUUCUCCCUUACAGAGUGUGUUUGAUGAAAGAACGCUGGGAGGAGGGCGUAAGGUUACACAAAAACCACAGUUUAAAAGGCAAACACAUCAAUAGCAUCAUUUUUAGAUUCCCAGCUGGAUUUCAGAGCUCCUUAUCAUGUUGCAGCUCCGCGGAGGCAGAAACCAGGACAACGCAGAGACACAGCGGCGUUGUUGAUAAAAUGAAUAUGGGGCAGUGUUGGAGUUGACAGGGCCUUUGUGGCGUUAUCAUAUCCCUGUGUUUAUGGACCGUCCUAUUUGUGUAAUCAGGAUGAAUCUCACCGGGGAGGUCUGCUGUCGUGCUUAUUGAGGUUUAUGACUUUGAUUUGAACCGAGUAGCUCUCAUAGCAGGAACAGCCUGACAGCUUAUCUCCACCUUCAACAUAUUGGAUUGCUUUGUGAAUGACGCUCACUGUGUUAUGAAUCCACGACACCAGAAAAGGCAGCGCCAUCAGCCGAAACUGAUAAUAAUGACCCUUAGGAGAAGCACUGACCUCUUGAAGAACUGUCGAGGAUCUAAUACUUUGUGUUUGUUUGUUCUUCUUAACUGAACAAAUUGAAAUGUGUUGAGAAAUCCACAGGAGUCUCUACUCCAUCCUGGAUGAUUGAUAGACAAAAGUUUUCAAAAAUGUUUUUUUUAAAUGGAAUUGGUCUUAAUUGAUGUUUUACUUUCUCUGUGACAGUGGUUUGGCACAACACAGAAUGUGUUGAAGGAGUUUUAUWAAUUCAUCGUCCUCUGACAGCGUCUCAGGCUGUGGAAACGAGGUGUGCAGAUGUGUGUUCGAGGUGAGAACGAAGACAUCACAGAGUUCUGGGUAAACCAUGAGGGAGCCUCAAAUGUUUCACACGCGCUAAAUGAAGGAAAAGAGGGAAAACAAGGUGUGGGACRGGUGGAGGGAGGGAGAAAAAAAAGAUGAGUUUAGCGAAACGGACAGGAAACGUUUUCCAUUGAGGCCAGGGGACUCAACAGGCUGGAGGUCUUAGAAACGCCUGUCCUUAUCAAUAAUGCAGCACACAUUUGUGCCACCUCAUGGCCUCAUAAAUUUUUCAGCGACCUCAGACAUAGAGGCUCUUCACCUCGGGUUUCCACUCAUUUUCAGUGGCAGCGGCAGAGGCGGCGGCGCGUUUGUGUCGGGGGGCGGGGGGCUGAACUCGGAGCCACCUCUACCUGCAGGGGUGGCCGAACCCGUCACUCCCAGGGAAGAGCUCCGCGAGCGUCUUGUUCAGUGACAACCAGAAGCUGAUGCAACAGCAGAAACCACGAAGAAGUUAUUCUACGUGGACGAUGAGGGUGCUUUUCUGCUGUUUGUCAGUUUUUCGGUCGGCGCACACAGGGGAAACUGAGAACAACUCGACUUUAAACAAAAGGCCCGCGUCUGACUCUUCCAAUGACAGCCAAAUUGUGCCGCCGCAUGACAGCUGGGUAAAUUGUGGGUCUAACCUCGGACCCGUGGAAGAAUAUGAGCUGCUGCUCCAUUUCCCGCAGCGUGAUGCUUAAGGCCUGCAGGCAGUCAAACGAUGCUCCCGCGUUGCAUAAGAAGGUGCACCUGAACCAGUCCUGGAC